UGCAUCUGAGGCCAGUGAGGAUGAGAACCUCCGGGGGCAGGAGGUUCGACUCGAGCGAAGCGAGAGAACGUUGCGUCAGCAACGGC
rnacentral:sRNA from 2 species